GAUGAACGCUGGCGGCGUGCUUAACACAUGCAAGUCGAACGGAAAGGCCCCUGCUUGCAGGGGUACUCGAGUGGCGAACGGGUGAGUAACACGUGGGUGAUCUGCCCUGCACUUCGGGAUAAGCCUGGGAAACUGGGUCUAAUACCGGAUAGGACGAUGGUUUGGAUGCCAUUGUGGAGAGAUUUUUCGGUGUGGGAUGAGCUCGCGGCGUAUCAGCUUGUUGGUGGGGUAGUGGCCUACCAAGGCGUCGACGGGUAGCCGGCCUGAGAGGGUGUACGGCCACAUUGGGACUGAGAUACGGCCCAGACUCCUACGGGAGGCAGCAGUGGGGAAUAUUGCACAAUGGGCGGAAGCCUGAUGCAGCGACGCCGCGUGGGGGAUGACGGCCUUCGGGUUGUAAACUCCUUUCGCUAGUGACGAAGCGCAAGUGACGGUACCUGGAGAAGAAGCACCGGCUAACUACGUG
rnacentral:rRNA from 1 species